CCUACGGGGGGCAGCAGUAGGGAAUAUUGCUCAAUGGGGGAAACCCUGAAGCAGCAACGCCGCGUGGAGGAUGAAGGUUUUCGGAUUGUAAACUCCUUUUGUUAGAGAAGAUAAUGACGGUAUCUAACGAAUAAGCACCGGCUAAGCCCGUGACAGCAGCCGCGGUACUACGGUGGGUGCAAGCGUUACGUGGAAUCAAUGGGCGGAAGGAGCGGGUAGGCGGGGUAGGAAGUCAGAUGUGAAAUCCUAUGCCUUAACCAUAGAGCUGCAUUUGAAACUGUUAUUCUAGAGUAUGGGAGAGGUAGGUGGAAUUCUUGGUGUAGGGGUAAAAUCCGUAGAGAUCAAGAGGAAUACUCAUUGCGAAGGCGACCUGCUAGAACAUAACUGACGCUGAUGCGCGAAAGCGUGGGUAGCAAACAGGAUUAGAUACCCCAGUAGUC
rnacentral:rRNA from 1 species